AGAGUUUGAUCAUGGCUCAGAAUGAACGUUGGCGGCGUGGAUUAGGCAUGCAAGUCGAGCGAGAAGUUUCCCUUCGGGGAAGCGGACAGCGGCAAACGGGGUAGUAAGGCGUAGGUGACGUACCUCAAGGACCGGGAUAGCCGCGGGAAACUGCGAUUAAUACCGGAUAAUCUCUCUGUUCAUGAUCGGACGGAGAGCAAAUGGUGUGAUUCCGCCAUGAGAGCGGCCUGCGUGGUAUUAGGUAGUUGGUGAGGUAACGGCUCACCAAGCCUGAGAUGCCUAGGGGGUGUGAGAGCACGACCCCCACCACUGGGACUGAGACACUGCCCAGACACCUACGGGUGGCUGCAGUCGAGAAUCUUCGGCAAUGGGCGAAAGCCUGACCGAGCGACGCCGCGUGCGGGAUGAAGGCCUUUGGGUUGUAAACCGCUGUCAAAGGGGAUGAAGUGCUAGAGAGUUAUCUCUCUAGUUUGACAAAGCCUCAGAGGAAGCACGGGCUAAGUACGUGCCAGCAGCCGCGGUAACACGUACUGUGCGAACGUUAUUCGGAAUCACUGGGCUUAAAGGGUGCGUAGGCGGCCCGCUAAGUAGGGUGUGAAAUGCCAGAGCUCAACUUUGGCAUUGCGCUCUAGACUGACGGGCUUGAGUGAGAUAGGGGUGUGCGGAACUUCCAGUGGAGCGGUGAAGUGUGUUGAUAUUGGAAGGAACGCCGGUGGCGAAAGCGGCACACUGGGUCUUAACUGACGCUGAGGCACGAAAGCCAGGGUAGCGAACGGGAUUAGAU
rnacentral:rRNA from 1 species